rnacentral:rRNA from 1 species
CCUACGGGAGGCUGCAGUGAGGAAUAUUGGUCAAUGGGCGAGAGCCUGAACCAGCCAAGUCGCGUGAAGGAUGACGGCCCUACGGGUUGUAAACUUCUUUUGUCAGGGAGCAAUUGAGUCCACGUGUGGGCUUAGCGAGAGUACCUGAAGAAAAAGCAUCGGCUAAAUCCGUGCCAGCAGCGGCGGUAAUAGGGAGGAUUCUGGCUUUAUCCGGAUUUAUUGGGUUUAAAGGGUACGUGGUGGUGAUAUCAUUUCAGCGUUAAAAGUUCGGGGCUCAACCCCGUAGUGCCGUUGAAACUGUUGUUCGUGAGUGGGCGAGAAGUAUGUGGAAGGCGUGGUGUAGCGGUGAAAUGCAUAGAUAUCACGCAGAACUCCGAUUGCGAAGGCAGCAUACCGGCGCCCAACUGACGUUGAAGCACGAAAGCGUGGGUAUCGAACAGGAUUAGAUACCCCGGUAGUC